UCCCUGGUGAUCCAGUGGUUAAGACUCUGUGCUGCCAACACAGAGGGCAUGGGUUCAAUUCCCAGUUGGGGAA
rfam:Ovis aries breed Texel chromosome 17, whole genome shotgun sequence.